AGUGAACGCUGGCGGUAGGCCUAACACAUGCAAGUCGAACGGCAGCACAGUAAGAGCUUGCUCUUACGGGUGGCGAGUGGCGGACGGGUGAGGAAUACAUCGGAAUCUACUUUUUCGUGGGGGAUAACGUAGGGAAACUUACGCUAAUACCGCAUACGACCUACGGGUGAAAGCAGGGGAUCUUCGGACCUUGCGCGAUUGAAUGAGCCGAUGUCGGAUUAGCUAGUUGGCGGGGUAAAGGCCCACCAAGGCGACGAUCCGUAGCUGGUCUGAGAGGAUGAUCAGCCACACUGGAACUGAGACACGGUCCAGACUCCUACGGGAGGCAGCAGUGUGGAAUAUUGGCCAAUGGGCGCAAGCCUGAUCCAGCCAUCCCGCGUGGGUGAAGAAGGCCUUCGGGUUGUAAAGCCCUUUUGUUGGGAAAGAAAAGCAGCAGGUUAAUACCCCGCUGUUCUGACGGUACCCAAAGAAUAAGCACCGGCUAACUUCGUG
rnacentral:rRNA from 1 species